AUAAUGCAAGUCGAGCGGACAGAUGGGAGCUUGCUCCCUGAAGUCAGCGGCGGACGGGUGAGUAACACGUGGGCAACCUGCCUGUAAGACUGGGAUAACUCCGGGAAACCGGGGCUAAUACCGGAUAAUUCUUUCCCUCACAUGAGGGAAAGCUGAAAGAUGGUUUCGGCUAUCACUUACAGAUGGGCCCGCGGCGCAUUAGCUAGUUGGUGAGGUAACGGCUCACCAAGGCAACGAUGCGUAGCCGACCUGAGAGGGUGAUCGGCCACACUGGGACUGAGACACGGCCCAGACUCCUACGGGAGGCAGCAGUAGGGAAUCUUCCGCAAUGGACGAAAGUCUGACGGAGCAACGCCGCGUGAGUGAUGAAGGUUUUCGGAUCGUAAAACUCUGUUGUUAGGGAAGAACAAGUACCGGAGUAACUGCCGGUACCUUGACGGUACCUAACCAGAAAGCCACGGCUAACUACGUGCCAGCAGCCGCGGUAAUACGUAGGUGGCAAGCGUUGUCCGGAAUUAUUGGGCGUAAAGCGCGCGCAGGCGGUUCCUUAAGUCUGAUGUGAAAGCCCCCGGCUCAACCGGGGAGGGUCAUUGGAAACUGGGGAACUUGAGUGCAGAAGAGAAGAGUGAAUUCCACGUGUAGCGGUGAAAUGCGUAGAGAUGUGGAGGAACACCAGUGGCGAAGCGACUCUUUGGUCUGUAACUGACGCUGAGGCGCGAAGCGUGGGAGCAAACAGAUUAGAUACCCUGUAGUCCACGCCGUAACGAUGAUGCUAGUGUUAGAAGGGUU
rnacentral:rRNA from 2 species